AACACGUGACUAACCUACCCCGGUGUGGGGGAUAACGGGUCGAAAGACUCGCUAAUCCCGCAUACGAUCCGCCUCGGUGGAGGAAAGCCGUAAGGCGCACUGGGCGGGGGUCGCGUCCCAUUAGAUAGUUGGUGUGGUAAUGGCGCACCAAGUCGAUGAUGGGUCUCUGGUCUGAGAGGACGACCAGACAGAUUGGGACUGAGACACGGCCCAAACUCCUACGGGGGGCAGCAGCAAGGAAUUUUCGGCAAUGGGCGCAAGCCUGACCGAGCAACGCCGCGUGGAGGAUGACGGCUCUUGGGUUGUAAACUCCUUUUGGGGGGGACGAUAAUGACGGUACCCUCCGAAUCAGGCCCGGCUAACUACGUGCCAGCAGCCGCGGUAAUACGUAGGGGCCAAGCGUUGUCCGGAAUUACUGGGCGUAAAGCGUGGGUAGGUGGUCGGUGAUGUGCCGCGUGAAAGCGCCGGAGUAAUGCCGGCGAGGUCGCGGUAGACACACGGACUCGAGGCUCGCAGAGGAACGUGGAAUUCCCGGUGUAGUGGUGAAAUGCGUAGAUAUCGGGAGGAACACCAGUGGCGCAAGCGGCGUUCUGGGCGAGACCUGACACUGAGCCACGACGGCGUGGGGAGCAAACAGGAUUAGAUACCCUGGUAGUCCACGCAGUAAACGAUGCAUACCAGGUGUGGGAUGGCGUUCGCGUCGUUCCGUGCCGCAGCUUACGCGAUGAGUAUGCCGCCUGGGGACUACGAGCGCAAGCUUAAAACUCAAAGG
rnacentral:rRNA from 1 species